ACCGUGGCGCAGUGGCAAUAUCGUAACCAAUGAAGGUCACCUGAGGUGCGAUUAUUGCUAGUUGAAAACUUCGAAUUCUGUAUGUCCUGCCCUAUUAGUGUAAUCGCUGCAAGAAUUUGGACGAUUAUAGUUACU
rnacentral:snRNA from 1 species